rnacentral:rRNA from 1 species
GACGAACGCUGGCGGCGUGCUUAACACAUGCAAGUCGAACGGAAAGGCCCUGCUUUUGUGGGGUGCUCGAGUGGCGAACGGGUGAGUAACACGUGAGUAACCUGCCCUUGACUUUGGGAUAACUUCAGGAAACUGGGGCUAAUACCGGAUAGGAGCUCCUGCUGCAUGGUGGGGGUUGGAAAGUUUCGGCGGUUGGGGAUGGACUCGCGGCUUAUCAGCUUGUUGGUGGGGUAGUGGCUUACCAAGGCUUUGACGGGUAGCCGGCCUGAGAGGGUGACCGGCCACAUUGGGAAUGAGAUACGGCCCAGACUCCUACGGGAGGCAGAAGUGGGGAAUAUUGCACAAUGGGCGGAAGCCUGAUGCAGCAACGCCGCGUGCGGGAUGACGGCCUUCGGGUUGUAAACCGCUUUCGCCUGUGACGAAGCGUGAGUGACGGUAAUGGGUAAAGAAGCACCGGCUAACUACGUG